rnacentral:rRNA from 1 species
UACAGAGGGUGCGAGCGUUAAUCGGAAUUACUGGGCGUAAAGCGCACGUAGGUGGCGACGUAAGUCGGGUGUGAAAGCCCCGGGCUCAACCUGGGAAUUGCAUUCGAGACUGCAUUGCUGGAGUACGGAAGAGGAGGGCGGAAUUCCCGGUGUAGCGGUGAAAUGCGUAGAUAUCGGGAGGAACAUCAGUGGCGAAGGCGGGUCUCUGGACAGUUCCUGACGCUGAGGCACGAAGGUCAGGGGAGCAAACGGG